GCCUGCGCGGAGCUCGUGGCCGCGCCUGCUCCCGCCGGGGGCUCCUUGCUCGGCCGGGCCGCGGCCAUGGGAGAGGCCGAGGUGGGCGGCGGGGGCGCCGCAGGCGACAAGGGCCCAGGGGAGGCGGCCACCAGCCCGGCGGAGGAGACAGUGGUGUGGAGCCCCGAGGUGGAGGUGUGCCUCUUCCACGCCAUGCUGGGCCACAAGCCCGUCGGUGUGAACCGACACUUCCACAUGAUUUGUAUCCGGGACAAGUUCAGCCAGAACAUCGGGCGGCAGGUCCCAUCCAAGGUCAUCUGGGACCACCUGAGCACCAUGUACGACAUGCAGGCACUGCAUGAGUCUGAGAUUCUUCCAUUCCCGAAUCCAGAGAGGAACUUCGUCCUUCCAGAAGAGAUCAUUCAGGAGGUCCGAGAAGGUGAGACUCGGGAGAGGUUGGGCUUGGGAAUCAGAAAAGGCCAGACCCUGGCCAAGGGCGGGGAGGUGAGGGUGAGGACCCCGGGCCUCCAGGGAGGUGUGAGGGUCCAGCGCAGACCCCGCCCCACCUGUGCUUGGGUGGUCUUGGAACCUCCGGGAUUGGAGAGGACUUUGUUUGAGAGCAGUGGCUGGACGGAAGCUGAGGCCCGUGUGGGCAGCAAGCGUCGGAGCAGUCCCUGGCCUGACCAUCCCCCAGCGUCGGCCACCACCGUGGGUUUUCGGUGAGCGUCAGCUGUCUCCUCCACAGGAAAAGUGAUGAUAGAAGAGGAGAUGAAAGAGGAGAUGAAGGAAGACGUGGACCCCCACAAUGGGGCUGACGAUGUUUUUUCAUCUUCAGGGAGUUUGGGGAAAGCAACAGAAAAAUCCAGCAAAGACAAAGAGAAGAACUCCUCAGACUUGGGGUGCAAAGAAGGCGCAGACAAGCGGAAGCGCAGCCGGGUCACCGACAAAGUCCUGACCGCGAACAGCAACCCCUCCAGUCCCAGCGCUGCCAAGCGGCGCCGCACAUAGACCCCUCAGUCCUGGCGGCAGCAGAGAAGCGGGUGAAGAGCUGUGGUCACUGACGGGGUCGGCUGGGUCUGAGUGCCACCGCCCAGGCCACAGUGGUAUCACCCCAGUGCCGGGAGCCCACACUGCCCACCCUCAGGCUCUCAGGUGAACGUGGCCGUCAGCGGGGAAACGUGUGUCAGCUGGACCAUGUGGGACCCUGAUGGACCUGAAAGACCAGGAUCAAUCCAGCUCAGAUGUUGAGGGCUCUGAAGCCUCGUUCUGUCUUCUCUGGAGCAGCUGUGGCUUCCCCAGGGCUGCUUGGUGACAUGGAUUAGCUCUACAUGGGCUGCAGCGUUUGGGAUCCAGGCUACCUAUAGGGGCAUCAGGCCAGGGGAAAACCUCGGAUUAGCAAGCAAUAAAAACAUGACCUCACUCUUCCUCAAAGGAGCCACUGGUCUUCCCUGCGUGACUCAGUUCUUUCCAUCUGUUUGUCCCGCUGCAAGCCUGUUUCUGCACUGACUGUGACAUCAGAACAUGGCCUUCCUGUCACCCCUCCGUGCCACGCACUGACAGCCCCCCCUCCACCUGGGAAACUAAGAACUGGAUAUUUUGCCUCAUUCACUUGUACUGUAACAAUGUAUAUAAUUUGGUUGGUAUUUCACUAUUUAAUUUUUAAGAAGCCUAUUUUACUAGUGUUUUAUAUGAACAAAGUACUGCAGAAGUUAAACCUGUGUUGUAUUUUUUCUGAGAUGUUUUGCUUUAAGAGAUACUUUUUGCUCAGUUUUUAUAUGCCAGAUACAGAGAAUUUGUAGCGGUUAUUUUUGUAUGAUCUAGUAACUUGCAAACAGACCAAAUGGGUGAGAGGCGGGACCGUGCAGCUGUCGGGCUGAUGAGGAGGAGGUGGCCGCCCCAGUGCUGAUGGAGAUACCACUUUUGUGUGACUGCGAACAUUAAAGCACAAAAAAAUCCAA